AUUUAUAUAGUUUAGAAACAAACAUUACACUUUCACUGUAAAGACAAAGAGAACCUUUUAUAAAUA
rnacentral:tRNA from 1 species